rnacentral:rRNA from 1 species
CAGUCGCCACGGUAAUACGUAGGUGUCAAGCGUUGUCCGGAAUUAUUGGGCGUAAAGGGCUCGCAGGCGGCUUCUUAAGUCUGAUGUGAAAGCCCCCGGCUCAACCGGGGAGGGUCAUUGGAAACUGGGAAACUUGAGUGCAGAAGAGGAGAGUGGAAUUCCACGUGUAGCGGUGAAAUGCGUAGAGAUGUGGAGGAACACCAGUGGCGAAGGCGACUCUCUGGUCUGUAACUGACGCUGAGGAGCGAAAGCGUGGGGAGCGAACAGGAUUAGAUACCCCUGUAGUCCCUGUCUCUUAUAA